AGAGUUUGAUCAUGGCUCAGAACGAACGCUGGCGGCAGGCUUAACACAUGCAAGUCGAGCGCACCGCAAGGUGAGUGGCAGACGGGUGAGUAACGCGUGGGACCUUCCCUUUGGUACGGAAUAACUUCGGGAAACCGAAGCUAAUACCGUAUAAGUCCUUCGGGAGAAAGAUUUAUCGCCAAAGGAUGGGCCCGCGUUGGAUUAGCUAGUUGGUAGGGUAAAGGCCUACCAAGGCUACGAUCCAUAGCUGGUCUGAGAGGAUGAUCAGCCACACUGGGACUGAGACACGGCCCAGACUCCUACGGGAGGCAGCAGUGGGGAAUAUUGGACAAUGGGGGCAACCCUGAUCCAGCCAUGCCGCGUGAGUGAAGAAGGCCUUAGGGUUGUAAAGCUCUUUUGGCGGGGACGAUAAUGACGGUACCCGCAGAAUAAGCCCCGGCUAACUUCGUGCCAGCAGCCGCGGUAAUACGAAGGGGGCUAGCGUUGUUCGGAAUCACUGGGCGUAAAGCGCACGCAGGCGGAUUGAUAAGUCAGGGGUGAAAUCCCGGAGCUCAACUUCGGAAUUGCCUUUGAUACUGUCUAUCUUCGAGUUCGGGAGAGGUUGGCGGAAUUCCUAGUGUAGAGGUGAAAUUCGUAGAUAUUAGGAAGAACACCAGUGGCGAAGGCGGCCAACUGGCCCGAUACUGACGCUCAUGUGCGAAAGCGUGGGGAGCAAACAGGAUUAGAUACCCUAGUAGUCC
rnacentral:rRNA from 1 species